rnacentral:rRNA from 1 species
CUACGUGCCAGCAGCCGCGGUAAUACAGAGGGUGCAAGCGUUAAUCGGAAUUACUGGGCGUAAAGCGAGCGUAGGUGGUCAUUUAAGUCAGAUGUGAAAUCCCCGGGCUUAACCUGGGAACUGCAUCUGAUACUGGGUGACUAGAGUAGGUGAGAGGGAAGUAGAAUUCCAGGUGUAGCGGUGAAAUGCGUAGAGAUCUGGAGGAAUACCGAUGGCGAAGGCAGCUUCCUGGCAUCAUACUGACACUGAGGUUCGAAAGCGUGGGUAGCAAACAGGAUUAGAUACCCUGGUAGUCCACGCCGUAAACGAUGUCUACCAGUCGUUGGGUCUCUUGAAGACUUAGUGACGCAGUUAACGCGAUAAGUAGACCGCCUGGGGAGUACGGCCGCAAGGUUAAAACUCAAAUGAAUUGACGGGGGCCCGCACAAGCGGUGGAGCAUGUGGUUUAAUUCGAUGCAACGCGAAGAACCUUACCUGGUCUUGACAUAC